GACGAACCGUGCGAACGUUGUUCGGAAUCACUGGGCUUAAAGGGCGCGUAGGCGGACUGUCCAGUCAGGGGUGAAAUCCUGCGGCUUAACCGUAGAAGUGCCUUUGAUACUGACAGUCUCGAGGGAGGUAGGGGCGUGCGGAACUUCCGGUGGAGCGGUGAAAUGCGUAGAUAUCGGAAGGAACACCGGUGGCGAAAGCGGUGCGCUGGGCCUCUUCUGACGCUGAGGCGCGAAAGCCAGGGGAGCGAACGGG
rnacentral:rRNA from 1 species